CCUAUAUUUUUGAGCAGUGUAGUAUCUAAAACACUGAAAGUCUGAAUGCAGUUGUGAGUUGUUUAUUAGCAAUGGUUACAUAUUUAAUCUUUACUAAUGUGUUUGCUUCUUCAAUGUCAAAGAUGGAUCAUUCCAGACUUGAGGAUGGCAGAUACAAAGUAUCUGAUGCUGAUACGACUGAAUGUUUGUAUGAGAAUGUAAUAAUGAAUUAUUCCAGACCUCAUGAUGACAGACUUAAUGACUAUGAAGUAGAGUCGACUGAACCUGUGUAUGAUAAUAUAAUGCAUGACAGGCCAUAGUGUUUGGGACAUGUGGUAAAACAGCCUACAGCCUUUUUCUGUCUCUCUGUGGGUGGAGCCCUGAAUGAUUGACAGUGUCUUGAUUUACAGAAAUUAAUUUAGAAAUUGGUUUUAUCCAAAUGAUAACCCUUAAGUGCUGAAAUUGUAUUUGACUGUAUUUAAGCAUAAAACAUUAUACGAAUUAGAAUGAAAAUAAUCAUGUAAGAUCUCAUUGGAUGUUAAUUUUAACAUAUUCUGCCUAUUCCGUGUUUUUAAAGAUAUUGUAUAUUGCAUUUUUAUUAAAAUGUAUUGUCAUAACGCAGGUUGCGUUCUUAGUCU